ACGAACGCUAGCGGGAUGCCUCAAACAUGCAAGUCGCACGAGAAAGGGGGAAACUCCGAGUAAAGUGGCGCACGGGUGAGUAACACGUAGCUAACAUACCCUCACGCUGGGGAUAACUCCGGGAAACCGGAGCUAAUACCGAAUGAGCUGUAGAGGUCUGCGGACCUUUCCGGCAAAGCCGUAAGGCGCGUGAGGAUUGGGCUGCGGCCCAUUAGCUUGUUGGUGGGGUAAUGGCCUACCAAGGCUUCGAUGGGUAGCUGGUCUGAGAGGACGAUCAGCCACACUGGAACUGGAACACGGUCCAGACUCCCACGGGAGGCAGCAGUUGGGAAUUUUGGACAAUGGGCGUAAGCCUGAUCCAGCAAUCCCGCGUGAGUGAUGAAGGCUUUCGGGUCGUAAAGCUCUUUUAGCAGGGACGAAGGGUAACUUGACGGUACCUGCAGAAAAAGCACCGGCUAACUACGU
rnacentral:rRNA from 1 species